GCAUCAUUUGAUGAUUAAAGCUUUGGCGGUAAAAGAUGAGUAUGCGUUCUAUUAGCUAGAUGGUAAGGUAACGGCUUACCAUGGCUUUGAUAGAUAGGGGUCCUGAGAGGGAGAUCCCCCACACUGGUACUGAGACACGGACCAGACUCCUACGGGAGGCAGCAGUGAGGAAUAUUGGACAAUGGGCGAGAGCCUGAUCCAGCCAUGCCGCGUGCAGGAAGACUGCCCUAUGGGUUGUAAACUGCUUUUAUACGGGAAGAAACACUCCAACGUGUUGG
rnacentral:rRNA from 1 species